CACACCGUCGUAAUCAGUUUGAUGGAGAAAAUUACAUACCUCCUCGCUUUGAACUUGUGAACAACUCUUCAUCUAAUUCCUAUGACCUGUUGAUCAAGAACAUCACUAAUCCUGAUGAGGGUCUCUACUACUGUGGAACGAGGGAGCUGAACAUUGAGGAAUACAAGACUUCCACAUAUGAUUACAGAUAUAGCAACAUAACAACAAGGAUCAUACUCAACUCCACUGAGCCUCAUCCUGGAAUCCAUCACGACAACAACAAGACUGAACAAAAGUGUGUUGUGUGCUGGAAGCUGCUCUUCUCUCUGUGUCCAGCUGCUGCUGUUCUUUCUUCUCUCUUGUCUCUUCUGGUUUUUCAGCUUUGCCACAAAACAGGAAAACCUCAAGAUGAUGAGAAAAGCCAUGAGAGCAGAAGUCAAGGAAAACAGGAUGAAGAUGUUUGCUAUGCUGCCCUGGAAAUCCGUCAACCAUCACAGAGACCAAAGAGGAAGAAAACCCAGAGUUCAGACUUCAGCACAUAUUCUGACAUCAACACUUCCAGAGUGUAAGAGAGCAAUAAAUGGCCUGCAUUUACAUUAUAUUCUGUAUUUUAACUUCUGCAGCUCAACAAAGAGCUUUGCAAUGUUCUCUCGAGCCACAUGGUCUUUGUUACUGUUGCUGACUUUUGACUGACUGAGAUAAUUUUCAUAAUUAUUACAGUUUGACCACCACAGUCUACAUGAAUUCUUGUUCUGUCUUUAGAUUUCCUACAGAAUAGAUGCAUUUUCAGUGUUUUGAUUCUUUCCAUUAUUUUACUAAUUCAUUAAAAAUUGAUCAUCUGCUCAGAAACUCUAGACAGAGACUCUUCUUGUUGCUGUUAUGCAAUUUAAAGUUCAUUUCUGUCAUUCAACUCGGUGCACGUGUGCAUGACUUGAGUGAUAAACUUUCAUUUUAGUUUAUCUCAAGUUAAGCAUCAGUCAAGUAUCGGUUAUCAGAUGCAUACAUACAACAGCAGAGCUCGACAUGUUCUUGAAAAUCUAUAAUAGUGAUC